UGGCGUGUCGCUGUGAGGUACCGGGGCGUAGGUGUCGGGUGUUGGGGUGUCGCUGUGAGGUACCGGGGUGUAGGUGUCGGGUGUUGGGGUGUCAAUGUUGGAUAUUGGGGUGUCACUGUGAGGUAUUGGGGUGUAGGUGUUGGGUAUUGGGGUGUAGGUGUGAAGUAUGAGGUGCCAAUGUUGGAUAUUGGGGUGUUACUGUGAGGUAUUGGGGUGUAGGUGUUGGAUAUUGGAGCUUAGGUGUGAGAUAUAGGGUGUAAGUGUCAGGUAUUGGGGUAUAGGUGUGGGAUAUUGAAGUGUAGGUGGGUGGUACGGGCUGGAAGUGUCAGGUAUUGGGGCACCAGUGUGAGGUAUGGGGUGUAGGUGUCAGGUAUUGGGGUGUUGGUGCAAGGGAUCAGGGUGUAGGUGUGAGGUAUGGGGUGUUUGUGUCACAUAUUGGGGUGUGAGGGGUCUACCUGUCGGGUAUUGGGGUCUACCUGACAGAUAUCGGGUAUGAGUGUCACAUACUGUAGGUGUGAGGGGUCUACAUGUUGGGUAUUGGGGUCCCCUUGAGGAUAUUUGGGUGUUUCAGACUCUUAAACCAAGUUCACUCUGCUCCUAUUGAACACCCAGUUGUUGCACGCAUUAUUUAAAUCCUGUGAUGUUCGCAUCUCUUGGGGCAGCCUGAGAGAUUCCUUGAGAAUCCCACAUAAUUUUCUCCUGAAGCUGCUUUGCUUGGGCUGUGUGAAAUCACAUUUUUGCUCAUCUGCUUCCAGCACCUUUCCGUGCUCUGCUGGUCCCUGUAAUAGACUCGUGGGUGAGUUUGUAAAUGUUGUGCAGGGCAUGAAGUGGAACUAAUUUAGGAUAUUGUUUGUGCCGCUAGAAUGCGGUGGAAGCACAAACACCAACUUCU